GGCCUGGCAGCGCUGCUCCUGAGCAUGCCCACUUCAGAGCCGUCGGGAAGACCACCUUAUUUUGAUUAGAGUGCUUUCCUCGGGCAGGGAUUUUUAUUUCGGCUUGAAUCUUAAACCAUUACAUUUCCAGUGAUGCAUUUUUAUGUUUACAAUUGACAUCUUCAUAAAAGAAUGAAACCUCUGAGCAACAGCUCCAAAGCAUGAAGGGUGCCCGCAGAGAAAGUUCAGAAUCUGGGUGAGCUUGGAUAACGCCUCCUUCCUGACACGAAGACAUUUAGACUCUCCAAUUCUACAGCCCCAGCUCGUCCUGAUCCGAGAUCUGAAGGAGAAUCCUGAAAAUCCUGAGGGACCGCUACGGUGCGGGACGAGCCGCAGACACUGGCUGCCAACUUGUUCUGAGGCUUGCUUCUGUAUCGACCUCUCCUCCCCGUCUGUUUCCUCAUUUUUAACAAUGGUGGUGACUCUAACUGCAUGUUGUUAGUAAGAGAAUGAAAUGAAAUGGUCUAUACACAGUGGUUUCAACCUUUGAAACCCUGUGAUCCCCAGGCUGCACCUCAGCCCAUUAAUUUAUCAUCUCCAGCAUCGGGAGUUUUUAAACCUCCCGAAUUCAACAUGCUGCCAAAAGCGAGACUCCCGAACACCCGGAAUCAUUAUGUUACCAUUACCGAACCAUAUAAAGGAAGUCUAUGUGACAGUGAACGUGGGGAUUGGAUGACCUCGUUUCAAUCCUGGCUCUCCCAACUUGUUGCCUUUGUGAUCUUGGGCAAGCCCCUGAAUUGUUUUGAAUUGGCGCUACAGUCUUGUUAAGAACAACAAUGUGAUGGGGAGCCUGGGUGGCUCAGGCCGUUAAGCAUCUGACUUCCGCUCAGGUCAUGAUCUUAUAG